rnacentral:sRNA from 1 species
CUUCGUCUCCUUUUUUAGUCCUCGAGAUGCGCCAACGCUACACUGCAAUAAAAAGUGCCUAAACAGUCUCGUGGUGUUGGUCACGGUGUUUGCCGCUCUCACUCGUCCUCGACAACGCUCUUGUGAUCUUGUUGACGUGACUAGUCUUAGACUUUAGAGGGGCGACGGGUGCACGGCCGAGGAUUUCCUCAGCCUGCCUUGAACCAGCAGGAGGAAUCUCCUCAGGGUGAAGGGAAACACGAACAGGGGAACGACCCUCUGUGUUGGCCUUGGCGAAGAUGAUGUCCAAAUCUUCAAGACUGUAUCGCUUGGUCUCUGCACGAAAAGUUAAUACUCCUUACAGGACGAGCUAGACAAAGUGGACGUACCAGGGAAGAACAAAUAAACGGAAGGAAGAAUAACAACGGCGUUGAUGGCGGCGAAAAAGGCAUAUGUGCCCCAUCCGAUGUUGGCGAACAUGGGACCAGUAGCCAUAACGACCAUAAAGUUGAAGAUCCAGUUGGAAGCGGUGGACAACGCAUUGGCAGGAGCUCGCACUCGAAGAGGCGUAACUUCAGCAGGAUAAAGCCAGGUCAUACCGAGGUAACCGACAGAGAACCAAGUGUUGAAGAGGAAAAGCAUGAGAACAGAGAAGACCUGGGCAGUUUUGUUCGGGUUUACCUCAUCGGUCGAGAGGUCAUAGAGACCUGCGAGGAUAGCCAUAGUGGCAGCUUGGAACCCGGCCAUCCAGAGCAUAAGAGGGCGACGACCGGCGCGUUCCACGAUGGCAAUAGCAACAAGGGAAGUGAGGAAGUAACAAGUACCGUUGACACCCGAGAUGAUUCGAGACAUGACGGCGCCGAGGCCAAGACCGGUCAGCACAGAGGUAAGGUAAUAGGUAAUAAGGCUGAAUUCAGCCAUACCGAGCAAAGUUCUCCUAAAGUGCUGAGACUUUCCAUGGGUGAAGAUCUCUGAGAACUUGAAAGAACCAGAGUUCUCCGCCGCAAGAGUGUCUGUGAUUCCAUGAAAAGUGUUCAUAACCUCUUGGUCGUCAACGGUGGUGUUGGACAAGGCGGCAAGAACUGCAAGAGAUUCGGCAUUUUUGCCCUUUGCGGCAAGCCAUCGUGGAGACUCGGGGAGACGGAAGGUGUACUAUAGGUGUAUUAUGAUCAUGACCAAGAUGAACACAAUUUGAAACGCGAUAGGGAAUCUCCAUGAAAUGGAUCCGGAGGUGAAAUAGAACGCGAGAUCCAUCCUGAACAUGGAUCAGCUAUGCCUUCUUUCGUAAACCAUCAUCACAACUUACCAGUAAGAAAUCAUGAUGCCAAAGGCAAUCAAAGAACCCUCUACAAGCACUAGCUGGCCUCGUCGAUGGGGUUUGGAACAUUCACUCUGAUAUGCCGGGACAGUAGAAGUCAAGAGACCGUUUCCGACACCUGUAACAACACGAGCGACAAGCAUCAUGGCGUAAUCAACAGCGGCAGUCUGAAGGAUGGAACCGACAAGCAUGAUAAAACCACCACUACGCAUCGUCAACAUCAAGAGUCAAGUGACUAUAUUCCAGCUUUGACUUACAGAGAGAUGGUAUGUCGACGACCAAGUCGGUCACCAAUCCAAAUACUUGAAAUGGCACCCAUCAUACAACCAAUCUCGUCUAGGGGAAUAGUUAGAGAAAAGUCAUGUGUACUGUGGAGCAAUCCAAAACUUACAGAUGGCCACCAUGAAUGAUUGGAGGGUUGCUGUUCGGGAUCCUUGGAAACCACCAGCGGUAUUGGGGAACUGAGCUUCGAAAGAAGGGAGGGUUAAGAGACCAGACAUAACACCUUGAUCGUAUCCGAAAAGGGUGAAACCGGUACCAGCGACAAAAGUUACCUGACAGGGAAUGUUAGAUCGUUAAAAGCAUGAGCAACUUUCAGACUUACCAUCCAUGUUAAUCCCUUGCCUGAAACCCUAGAUGGUGUCACGUCUCGAGCAGCUUGAAUAUCUUCUUCUGAUAAUCGGAAAGCGUUGCUGGAUAAUAUUGUCGCAUUGUCGGCAUCUGAUAGAUGUUCGGGCCUUGCCUGUUUCUCAUGGACGACGUUGGUCGGGUCAACGGUAGACAUGUUUCUAAUUGAUUACAAUGAAUGAAGGUAACGAUCGC